rnacentral:lncRNA from 1 species
CCUGCAAAGAAUUCUUGCAGUUCCAAUCAAUGCUUUUUUUUGUAGCUGUUCUACCUUUCCCCUUGCACCGAUCUUUUCCAGCCAAUGUUGGUAGCUGAGUGCUGAUACUUCCAAGUGCACCAAUUACGAUUGGUAUCACGUCUACACUCUUCAUUGACCACAACCUUCCUAUUUCCCACUUCAAAUCAUCAGAGUUGUCCACUUUUUCGUCUAUCAUUGAUCUUGCCAUCGGGACAUGCUAUGUCGAUCAUCAUGCAAAUUUUAUUAUUAUUAUUAUUAUUAUUAUUAUUGUUGCCUUUGCACAGCUUCUAACGCUGGAGAUGUACUACGGUGUCACCUGUUCACUACCAGUGAACUAAGGUAACACCUCUUAUUUUUCGAGCACCUUCCGGAGUAACACUAUCACCAUCAUUCAUUCCCACCGUUAUUCACAAUAACUUGUUGUUUCAUUGUCACUCAUAUGAGGUAGCAAUUAUCAGGUUGCGCAAUUACCAGCGUUUUCAUUGUGACACCAUCACUAUUAUUAUUAUUAUUAUUAUUACCAUUAUUACUAUUAUUAUUAUUAUUAUUAUUAUUAUUAUUAUUAUUAUUAUUAUUAUUAUUAUCAUUAUCAUUAUUAUUAUUAUUAUCAUUAUUAUUAUUAUUAUUAUUAUUAUUAUCAUUAUUAUUAUUAUUAUUAUUAUUAUCAUUAUUAUUAUUAUUAUUGCUAUUAUUAUUAUUAUUAUUGCUAUUAUUAUUAUUAUUAUUAUUAUUAUUAUUAUUAUUAUUAUUAUUAGUAUUAUUAUCAUUAUUAUUAUGGAUGGAUGGAUGGAUGGACGUCAUCAAGAACAGCCUUGCAUUACCGUAAAAUAUACAGAAAUAUUAAUAACUGCACUAUAUAUAUAUAUAUAUAUAUAUAUAUAUAUAUAUAUAUAUAUACACACACCCUGUAGAGACAGAAACUGCGUAGAGUCGCGUGCACUUGUAUAUAAUGUGCGCUGACAGAUGCAUUCUAAUAUUAACACGUGCACAGGUACGUACACAGGUAACACAGGUGUGUAAUGACAGGUGCAACACAGCAGAUGGUUAAUAGGCAAGGGAGGGGGCCCAGCAGCAGAUGUACCAAAUAUUGGCAAAGUGUGUGCGUGUGCACGUGUGAGUGUGUGCGUGUGUGUGUGUUUCCUUCACAAGAUGGCGCAUCUUCCACACGGACUUUGCUGCGUGAAAAUUAGCAUGUCGUUGUGUGUGCGUUUGUGUAUGUAUGUAUGUAUGUAUGUAUGUAUGUAUGUAUGUAUGAAACCUGAAAGAGAGAGAGAGUAUGUGUGAGAGUGUGUGUCGACAAAUUUAUGGAUAAAGUUAUAUAUGCAUAUAUAUAUAUAUAUAUAUAUAUAUAUAUAUAUAUAUAUAUAUAUAUAUAUGUGUGUGUGUAUAUAUAUGUGUUUAUAUAUAUAUAUAUAUAUGCAUAUGUUUAUAUCUAUCUAUACAGUAUAUUAUACAUAUCUCUAUAUCAGCCAUAUUUAUAUGCAUACAUUUAUAUUUAUACAUUAUAUAUAUAUAUACAUACAUACAUAUAUUGUAAUUUACAUAUAUAUUCAUACGUUUUAUAUCAUAUAUAUAUGUAUAUACAUACAAUCAUAAAUAUAUAUACAUAUAAUUAUAUAUAUAUAGAUAUAGAUAUAUAUGUAUAUGUAUAUAUAUAUAUAUAUAUAUAUAUAUAUAUAUAUAUAACUUUAUAUAUGUGUAUGUAUAUAUAUGCAUAUAAUUACAUAUAUAUAUAUAUAUAUAUAUAUAUAUAUAUAUAUAUAUAUAUAUAUAUAUAUAUAUAUAUAUAUAUGUAUCUGUAUCUUAUUUUGUAAAUUAUUUAUAAAUUUAACCUUUAAACGUAUUUUUUGAUAUGCUGGCCAUUGAUGAAAUUUAUUUCUCGAAAAAACUUUAUCCUACAUUAGUUAUAUAUAUAUAUAUAUAUAUAUAUAUAUAUAUAUAUAUAUAUAUAUAUAUAUAUAUAUAUAUAUAUAUAUAUAUACAAUUAUAUGCAUAAAGAUAUAUAUAUAUAUAUAUAUAUAUAUAUAUAAAUUAUAUAUAGAGAGAGAGGCAGACAGACAGGUACAUGUAAUUAUAUAUGUAGACACACAUACACACUCCAAACACCCACAUAUCCACCCACGGGUAUCUCUAUAUGUCGGAACGCUAAAACAGCUGAGUAAACAAAACCCUUCUUAUUCCACCCGACUGUUGAUUGGCGGGGGCGAGGGGACAGCGUUUGGCAUUCAUCCCUGCCACCCGUUUCUGCAUGGUGUCCCAGGACAGGGUACUUAACUCUGAACGUAACAGUCGGUCACGUGACUAUUGCGCAGCAACAUGGUGGUGAGAAAUUUACAAGUUGGUUUCGUAAUCACGUCACACACAGUACGAACCCAGUGUGCCGCAACUUGGGGGCAAAAGUAUUCUGGUAAAGUCCCCUAAUUAAUUAAUGGCUCGUGAGUGCAGUGGUAUGGUGGGCGCAAAGUGUACGGAAGCAGGC